rnacentral:rRNA from 1 species
AACGAACGCUGGCGGCAGGCUUAACACAUGCAAGUCGAACGCUCCGCAAGGAGAGUGGCAGACGGGUGAGUAACGCGUGGGAAUCUACCUAGUUCUACGGAACAACAGUUGGAAACGACUGCUAAUACCGUAUACGCCCUACGGGGGAAAGAUUUAUCGGAAUUAGAUGAGCCCGCGUAAGAUUAGCUAGUUGGUGAGGU